rnacentral:lncRNA from 1 species
GCAGUGAUCCACGGGCAGCUCCCAUCGUUACCCUAUGCCCCCCAAACAAAGGAGCUGCGAUAUCCCCACCUCCGCAGCGCACCCGGCCGCGCUGCCCCUCGCACCUCUCUGUCUCCUCCUACAGGAGCUGCCGCGCCUUUGCACCGGCAAAGCUCUGCUCGACGGCCCUUCGGCCGGCGGUGCACGGAGCCCCAUGCGGCAUCUCCACCCAGGAGAAGAGCUCCUGGGGAGGAAGAGCGGCCGGCUUUUUCUCGGUGUGCCCCGGCAGCCCUCCCGCCCAGCGCACGUGUCAAUAGAAGCGGCAGCGCUCCUAGGAGCGGUCUCACGCCUCUCCCCGGCAGCCGAUGGAGCUGCUGCUGCUUCGCGCUCGUCCCCAUUCUCCCCCUCCUUCCUCCGUGCGCGCGGCCGGGCUCCACGGGUGCCGUGAUUGGAAUCCGGCUCCGUCCCGCCCCGCCCGCCCUCCAGCUCCGCAGGGACGCGCCGGGCGUCGGGAGCGCUGCCGGGGAGCGAGCCUGCGCCGCCCCGCCCCGCCCCGCCCCGCCCCGCCCUCCCCCUCCCGGCUCUCGGCCGCCUUCGCUCCCGUCUUACAGGAGCCGUCGGGGUUCCGGGCGCGGCCUGCGUAACGCAGCGGGAGCGGCUCCGUGUUGCUUCGCCUUCCGUCCCGCCGCAGAGGAUGAGGAGCCUCCAGGAGCGGUGAGUGCGGGGUCGUGCCGGGCGGUGUGGAGCGCCGCGCCCCGCUCCUGCGUUCCACCCCUUCUCGGCCCGCGGGGCUCCGAGCACCGGGCCCUCGUCCCGCCCCCGGCCCGCUCUCCCCGUCGGCUGCGGGCUCGGCCCUUCUGCUCCGAGCUCUCCGGCCCGGCCGCUCUCCCCGCCGAGCGCCCUCCGCGGGUCGGGCCGAUGCUCGGAGACCGUCGGCGGGCGAAGCGCGGCGGCUCCCGGGGCCGGCGGCUUCCUGCGUGGGCACGGGGCCGCCUGCGGGGCCGGGCAGGCCCGGCGCACGCCGCUCUGUCUGGCCGCCUUCGCCCUCCCCCUGCGUCUGCGCCCGCGGUGUUGUAA